AAAUCAGAUUUUCGAUUUACGUCCAAAUAGUACAAAAGCAAUUUUUCAACGUGACUCGAUCCGAACGACAUUCGUUGGCCAAGGACGUUAUGAUAUUUCAUAUUUUCUUCUUGCUCGAAGCACGAAUUCAAACAAGGUAGCGACAAGGCCGAUUAAAACGCGCUCUACGAAUACGAAAGAGGGACAGGAAGGGUGAGCAUUGCCUCCAAACGUAAACUGGUUUUUCUUCGAUAAAUCUCCUCCACCGUUACCUUGUAUCCGCACGAAGGAAAAAUAGUAGUAUCGAGUAAAAUCGAAAUAAUAAAAUAAUAAAUGAGAUGACUUCUAGACCUAGAUCGAAAAAAUAAAAAGAACAGUCGUAAAAGUGGACGAGAUAUCAAACAUUAUCGGAUUUUCCUGGCCUGCCAAGGCCGAAAAAGAAAAAUAAUAGCCGCGAAUUUUUUUUACGACUUUGCAUCCAAUAUUGAAUGAAAUGAUUCGAGCAAAUGUCGAUUACUAUUGUACGACACGUUCAGUGAUGCGUGAGGUAAACACAGAAUUUAUUCCAGAUUCGUGACGUUCGAACGUUUGGCGAGGUAAUACGGAAACGUGAGCGGAACGCCUUUUGCCGAAAUUUCGCGGGAAUUUUGAAAUCUGGCCAGACAUCGACGGCUGGGCAAUACUCGAGCAAGAGAUUUGUAUAUUUAAUUCGAUUUGAUGUGAAUCAUCCUACGUAUAAAUUCAGACGUGAAUCCAAAGAAUCGAUCCUUUCUUCGUUUAUGCAAUACAAUUUAGAAUAUUCUAAAUGAAACGUUAACGCGUUUAAUUUUACGAUUGACAAAAUAUCUAUUAUUAAAUAUAUUUACCAAGUAAUUUAAUUUUCGAAUAAGAUAUAUAUAUAUAUAUAUACGUAGAAAUAUUAGAACGCGUAAAAAUAAAGACAAAAUAUUACGACUUAUGUACAUACAAAUUCGUUUGGCAGUCAACGUUGAUAAGCGACUUUGAAUUAUUGCGUUCACGUUAGUACAUGUACGUCUGGUGAUUAUAUACCUUCAGCACAGUCUAGACGCAAUUUUACGAUCGAUUUUAUUAUACAAUAUAUGUUAUGCAAUAGAAUUCCUAUUAUUUAAAUGAAAAAUCAGAUAGGCGUUGCAACAAAGAAAAAAAAAUGAUUAUUAACAUAUACAUAAUAUUUAUCUUUUAAAUUUAAUAUCUUCAACAUCAAAUCAAAGGUCACCUUGAACUUUUCACACGAAAUUCGUGUAUAUUUCUUGAUUAUAUUAUAUAUAUAUAUAUAUAUAUAUAUAUAUAUAUAUAUAUAAAAGACAUUAAGAUAAAUUCAAGAAACGUAAAACACUUAUAUUCACGUAUAUUAUAAUCAAAAGUUAAUAAACGUUUACAAGAAAUCCCACCUUGAGAUUUUUCUUGCAGUCGCAUACUUAGAGAAACCUCUCAUUUUAAAUAGAAACAAGUAUAAUUUAAUCGUCGACCGGUUGUCAAUAAAUAUCGUACGUACAACGGUAGAUAACAUCGACUUCCUCUUAUUAAAAAAUACGCGAUACCAUCGAUGAUAUACAUCUCAAUCGACAUUAUUCCAUGUAUAAUCGCGCUGAAGCAAACGAAACGGUCUGUCAUAUACAAACAAAUAUAAAAACCGAUAUCUUGUUUCUGCUAGGCAACCGUGUACCAGUGCUUCUGACGCAAAUUUAUCCCCCCGUAUCGCACUCCCGUGAUGAUUUCAUGCGCAUUCGCGAUUUUAUUCGACAUAUUCGCGUCUCCUCCUCCACCAGAGAACCAGUCUCCUCCGCCAGUCGAACCCGAGGACACAUUCCGGCUUUGCGUAUAUACUUUCGAAAUUUACUUUAUAAAUUUAUGUAAGACCAGCAUUUCGUUCAGAAAGAUUGAACUACGUUCUAUUAACAAACUUUAAAUUCUAUUCUAAAUUCUAAAUUCUAAAAUUCUCUACUUUUAAAUUUUAAAUUCGUAUUAGAAAUAAAGAUUUUGUUCGAUUUUUUUUCUUUUUUCUUUUUUUUUUUUUAGGAGUACUCAAAUUUAGAUUAGCACAAUCUCUAUAAAUCGAAAUCGAUCUGUGUAAGUCAAAUAUCGAGGUCUCUACGUUUGUCCCCGAAGUCCAAUCAUUAUGGGAGUAGGUUCAAACAAAUUACAAGAUAUUAAAGGAAGCGGAUCAAUUUGAAAAAAUAGUGGAUUGGUUUUCGGCUCAGGUCCGUGGGUACGCCAUCACCCAAAGGACUCACGAAAGCGGGUUUGGAACUACGUGAAACGAACGUAGAGCCUCAAAACCCGUCGGUCCCCCUUGCGGUAAAGUCAAACUAGAAAAAUACCAUUCACGAAUUUCUCUUUAUUCUAUAAGAAUAUUCUUCUAUAAUUCUAUAAUCGUUUCUCUAUAUUAUAUUGAAUUUUCGAUAAAUCACUUGAAUCACUUGAAUUUUGAAAACUUGGCGAUAAGAUGAAACAUUUUUUUGUGAUUCGAUAAAUUUUACCAAGAGAUUUCAUCCGAUACGUAUCAAUAAUCGAGAACGUGACUACGGAUGCGAGAAAUAACAGUCACGAUCGCGUUAAAUAAAAAUCGUACUCGAGUUUUUUCCUUCGAUAAUCGGUUCAACGCGCUCCUCUCAACUGUGAAAAAUUUGCAUUAUGUAAGUGAUCAUGCUCAAACAUUCUCAACGUUGAUCGAUCUCGUUAAAUUGUGACAUAUGUUUGAAUCUAUACGCUUUUUCUUUUUUUUUUUUUUAGGUCAUGUUAAACGAUAAGUUUAUCAGAAACGGAGAUCGUUCGAUCGAAUCGGGACAAUUUCGAGAAUGAGCUCGAUCUAUCUUUAGAAUAUAGAAUAAAAAUUUUUAUAUUUUACAUCAUACACUUUGCAAACUAGAAAAUUUAUCAUUGCUGAACUGGUAUAAUAUUAGUUCGAAAAGGAAAAUCUUUUAAGUGUUAAGAUACGGAUAAAUAAGGUACACACAGUUAGCGUUAAAGUUGACGUUUAUCAUGCACGUUAAAAGGAAAAAAGUAAAUUAAUCCAAAGAUUCUAUCCUACAAACCUAUUUUACCCACGAUUAUAUUUAAAAUUAUCAGAUGUUAUCAAUAAGUUAUACACGGAAGUGGAUUCUUUUUUAUCCUUAUUUUUCCCCCUUUUCCUUUCCCCUCUUAGUGCAGUAUAUUUUUCCUUUUUUUUUUUUUUGAAUUUUUUUACAAAAAUUGUUGUAAAAUCGUUUAACACGGUAACGCGAACGUCAACCAGAUAAUUCGCGUAUUAUCACAUAGCUCGAUGCACAAGACGCGGCCUAAAUGACGCGAAUACGAUAAAAUUGUACACGGUGCGGCGCGUGUGACAGUAGCAGGAUCGACACUCUCGGGGGAGGGGAAAUGUAAAGAUUCUUUUCAACCGUUUCGCGUUGGAACACGCGAAAGGAUACGAAUCGAUAGUCGGCUCUCUUACGUAACUGUUCGCAGAUAAGCACGCUAGAAUCCACGACAAUCUUCAGAAGUUAAGUGUCAAGCGAGAUAGCGUGUGCUCGAAACAACGGGUGCUGUUCAAAUUAAGAAUUAGAUGUUGAAGAUGCAAGAUCCGCCCGUAUAUAAAAAGAGAAAUUAAUCCGGGAUUGCAUUAAUUUCAACCGGUUGAUAAAUACGACGAUGAUAACCGUGUUUAUGUAAUAUUUUGCGAUCGUUUCGAGUGAACGAGAGGGAAAUCGCGUAAAUAGACGUUUAAAAUAGACACGUUCGAAAAUUAUUGCCCAACCAAUGUUAUUUCCUUCGUUGUUAAACCGAGCGUCGUUAAUCGGCCGGUUAGCUUUGAAAUGGGAGGGGGAGAGAGAGAGAGAGAGAGAGAGAAGGAAGAAAAAAAUUAUUUUUUUCUUUUAUCAAAAUUCGUACGCGCGUACGACGUACACAUAUGUAUGCACAUAUAUGCACCGUGAACCUGCGUGGCCAGUUGAUUAAAUAGCACGAUUUUUCUUGCUAAAUGUAACCCCCGCGAUAAAGCACGGCGAGGACGGAUAGGAUCUAAAGAGGCGGUGUCGGGCGCCGCGGCGCCAGUCGUCCCUCUGUGGUCAGGCAGGAAUUGUAGGCCAAAUGAAAUGCAGUGGACAACCGGGAGGGAGAAAAAAAAAAAAAUAGAGGACUUUCGAGUGAAUUUCCGAUUGAAAGUCCGAGAUGAAAGCCAAUCGUGUUUUUCAUCGGACAAAUUAAUCUGAUUUAUAUGCUAUAAUCAAUAUUUUGAUAGCGUAUCGAUGUCGCGAUGAAUGAAGGGAUUAAAUGGAAUUAGUGAUAUUUAGGGAGCAUAAAAGGAAGACAAUAAAAACAUAUCUAUAACGAA